AGGGGUGUAGCUCAGUUGGUAGAGCAGUGGUCUCCAAAACCACGUGUCGAGGGUUCGAUUCCUUUCACCCCUGCCA
rnacentral:tRNA from 1 species